rnacentral:tRNA from 1 species
UCUCGCCAGCGGCUGGACGGAGUCGAGCAGGACGGCCGCCGCUCGGUCCGGCCCGCCGGCGGCAAGGAGGUCGGCCGGAUCGCGGCCGGCGGGCAGGAUC